rnacentral:tRNA from 1 species
GCGCCGGUAGCUGAGUGGCUUAGCUACGGACUCUUAAUCCGAAGACGGGGGUUCGAUUCCCUCCCGGCGCA